rnacentral:lncRNA from 1 species
GAAAUAUAUUUUUUCCCCUCGUUCAUGACGAGAAGUCCGGCUGGCUUACAUCAUGUGCUAACGAGACGGAGAUUUUUGGACAUAAAUGAUGAGCUUUUUUGAACAAAACUACAUUCGUUAUGGACCUGUGAUACCUGGAAGUGACAUCUGAUGAAGAGAAUCAAAGGACCUGAGCCCUAGGACGAUGCCUCAGGACUACCUGGUAUGAUGACUCCUUGCUGUCCCCAGUCCACCUGGCCGUGCUGCUGCUCCAGUUUCAACUGUUCUGCCUGCGGCUAUGGAACCCUGACCUGUUCACCGGACGUGCUUGUUGCACCCUCGACAACUACUAUGAUUAUUAUUAUUUGACCAUGCUGGUCAUUUAUGAACAUUUUAACAUUUUAACAUCUUGACCAUGUUCUGUUAUAAUAUCCACCCUGCACAGCCAGAAGAGGACUGGCCACCCCUCAUAGCCUGGUUCCUCUCUAGGUUUCUUCCUAGGUUUUUGGCCUUCCUAGGGAGUUUUUCCUAGGGAGUUUUUCCUAG